rnacentral:SRP_RNA from 1 species
GCCGGACGCGGUGGCGCACGCCUGUAGUCCCAGCUAUUGGGAGGCUGAGACGGGAGGAUCGCUUUAGCCCAGGAGUUCUGGGCUGUAGUGCGCUAUGCCGAUCGGGUGUCCGCACUAAGUUCGGCAUCAAUAUGGUGACCUCCCGGGAGCGGGGGACCACCAGGUUGCCUAAGGAGGGGUGAACCGGCCCAGGUCGGAAACAGAGCAGGUCAAAACUCCCGUGCUGAUCAGUAGUGGGAUUGUGCCUGUGAAUAGCCACUGCACUCCAGCCUGGGCAACAUAGCAAGACCCCAUCUCU